rnacentral:rRNA from 1 species
CCAGACUCCUACGGGAGGCAGCAGUGGGGAAUAUUGCACAAUGGGGGAAACCCUGAUGCAGCAACGCCGCGUGAGUGAAGAAGUAUUUCGAUAUGUAAAGCUCUAUCAGCAGGGAAGAAGAUGACGGUACCUGAGUAAGAAGCCCCGGCUAACUACGUGCCAGCAGCCGCGGUAAUACGUAGGGGGCAAGCGUUAUCCGGAUUUACUGGGUGUAAAGGGAGCGUAGACGGCAUAGCAAGUCUGAAGUGAAAUGCCAGUGCUCAACACUGGAACUGCUUUGGAAACUGUGUAGCUAGAGUGCAGGAGAGGUAAGUGGAAUUCCUAGUGUAGCGGUGAAAUGCGUAGAUAUUAGGAGGAACACCAGUGGCGAAGGCGGCUUGCUGGACGAUGACUGACGCUGAGGCUCGAAAGCGUGGGGAGCAAACAGGAUUAGAUACCCGCGUA